GGCCGCGUGGCCUAAUGGCUAAGGCGCUAGAUUUCGGCUCUAGAGAUUCCAGGUGAAUCCUGGCGUGGUCG
rnacentral:tRNA from 1 species